rnacentral:rRNA from 1 species
CCCUUAGAUGUCCUGGGCCGCACGCGCGCUACACUGACAUGUUCAACAAGCCUCCUAGUUCGACAGGAUUUGGGAAAUCUUUGAACGCAUGUCGUGAUAGGGAUAGAUCAUUGCAAUUAUUGAUCUUGAACGAGGAAUUCCUAGUAAACGCGAGUCAUCAGCUCGCGUUGAUUACGUCCCUGCCCUUUGUACACACCGCCCGUCGCACCUACCGAUUGAAUGUUUCGGUGAAGAUUCCGGAUAGGACUUUUUUGAUUUAUUUCAAUUCUGUCUUAAAAGCUAUCUAAACCUCAACAUUUAGAGGAAGGUGAAGUCGUAACA